rnacentral:rRNA from 1 species
GACGUAGGGUGCAAGCGUUGUCCGGAUUUACUGGGCGUAAAGAGCGCGUAGGCGGUCUGUUAAGUGUAGAGUGAAAUCUCCAGGGCUCAACCCGGAAACUGCUCUGCAUACUGGCAGACUUGAGGGUCGAAGAGGUUUAUGGAAUUCCUGGUGUAGCGGUGAAAUGCGCAGAUAUCAGGAAGAACACCCGUGGCUAAGGCGGCUCUCUAGUACGGUACUGACGCUGAGACGCGAAAGCGUGGGGAGCGAAC